rnacentral:rRNA from 1 species
CAGAGGGUGCAAGCGUUGUUCGGAAUUAUUGGGCGUAAAGCGCGUGUAGGCGGCUUUGCAAGUCGGGUGUGAAAGCCCUCGGCUCAACCGAGGAAGUGCGCCCGAAACUGCAGAGCUUGAGUACCGGAGAGGAUGGCGGAAUUCCCCAAGUAGAGGUGAAAUUCGUAGAUAUGGGGAGGAACACCGGUGGCGAAGGCGGCCAUCUGGACGGAUACUGACGCUGAGACGCGAAAGCGUGAGUAGCAAACAGGAUUAGAUACCCUGGUAGUCCACGCCGUAAACGAUGAGAACUAGGUGUCGUGGGUGUUGACCCCCGCGGUGCCGUAGCUAACGCAUUAAGUUCUCCGCCUGGGAAGUACGGUCGCAAGACUA